AUUGCACGCUGGCGGCAUGCCUUACACAUGCAAGUCGAACGGUAACGGGCCUUCGGGUGCCGACGAGUGGCGAACGGGUGAGUAAUAUAUCGGAACGUACCUUUCAGUGUGGGAUAACGUAGCGAAAGUUACGCUAAUACCGCAUAUUCUGUGCGCAGGAAAGCAGGGGACCUUCGGGCCUUGCGCUGAUUGAGCGGCCGAUAUCAGAUUGGCUAGUUGGUGAGGUAAAGGCUCACCAAGGCAACGAUCUGUAGCGGGUCUGAGAGGAUGAUCCGCCACACUGGAACUGAGACACGGUCCAGACUCCUACGGGAGGCAGCAGUGGGGAAUUUUGGACAAUGGGGGCAACCCUGAUCCAGCCAUGCCGCGUGAGUGAAGAAGGCCUUCGGGUUGUAAAGCUCUUUCGGCCGGGAAGAAAUCGUAUGGGCUAAUACCCUGUGCGGAUGACGGUACCGGCAUAAGAAGCACCGGCUAACUACGUGCCAGCAGCCGCCGCUG
rnacentral:rRNA from 1 species